rnacentral:rRNA from 1 species
UACGUAGGGGGCUAGCGUUGUCCGGAAUCAUUGGGCGUAAAGCGCACGUAGGCGGUCUGUUAUGUCGGAUGUGAAAGCCCUUGGCUUAACUGAGGAAGUGCAUCCGAAACUGGCAGGCUAGAGUACUAAAGAGGGUCGCGGAAUUCCUGGUGUAGCGGUGAAAUGCGCAGAUAUCAGGAAGAACACCCGUGGCGAAGGCGGCUCUCUGGAACGCAACUGACGCUGAGACGCGAAAGCGUGGGGAGCAGACAGG